rnacentral:lncRNA from 9 species
UAAUUAUUAACAAGAGCCAGGCAGCCUGAAAUGCAGCAUACGCGGACUAAAACGAGCCCUGCUGCCUCCAGCUUUUGAGAGGGAGGAGGAUGAAGUUUGGAAAGAUGCCCUCCAGUGGAAGCAUUUCCUUGGGCCAGUGCUGAAAAGGACCCCUGAGCAGACCCUUAGACUGCUGUUCCCUCUUCUGAGAAUGCACUUCCACCCCAUUUCUGCCUGCUGAAACUUUCCAGCAUACAGUCAACAAAGAUUUCUGUUGAGAGCCAGGAACUGGGGAUGGAGCAUUGAAUCAACACAGACCUUCCCUUCAGAGUCUAGGGAAGGAAGAAAAAAUUAAAAUAGUAAAACAAAAUAAAGUAAAAUAAAAUAGAAAACUCUCGUCCAACAAAUUGCUAUAUAAUUACAAUUGUGGGAAGUGUGAUGAGGAAGAGGGAUCAGAAACGCACAGGGCAGGGGAAGUGGACUACGUCUGGAGUCUCCCAGGAGGCUCUGGGGGAGAAUGAUUAUUAAGCUGAA